rnacentral:rRNA from 1 species
AGUGAACGCUGGCGGUAGGCCUAACACAUGCAAGUCGAACGGCAGCACAGUAAGAGCUUGCUCUUACGGGUGGCGAGUGGCGGACGGGUGAGGAAUACAUCGGAAUCUACUUUUUCGUGGGGGAUAACGUAGGGAAACUUACGCUAAUACCGCAUACGACCUACGGGUGAAAGCAGGGGAUCUUCGGACCUUGCGCGAUUGAAUGAGCCGCUGUCGGAUUAGCUAGUUGGCGGGGUAAAGGCCCACCAAGGCGACGAUCCGUAGCUGGUCUGAGAGGAUGAUCGGCCACACUGGAACUGGGACACGGUCCAGACUCCUACGGGAGGCAGCAGUGGGGAAUAUUGGACAAUGGGCGCAAGCCUGAUCCAGCCAUACCGCGUGGGUGAAGAAGGCCUUCGGGUUGUAAAGCCCUUUUGUUGGGAAAGAAAAGCAGCAGGUUAAGACCCCGCUGUUCUGACGGUACCCAAAGAAUAAGCACCGGCUAACUUCGUG